GGAGGGGUGACCGAGUGGUUUAAGGAGCCUGUCUUGAAAACAGGUGAGGUGCAAGCCUCCGAGGGUUCGAAUCCCUCCCCCUCCGCCA
rnacentral:tRNA from 1 species